GACUUGUGGCUGGGGGUGAAAGGCCAAUCAAACUCGGAGAUAGCUGGUUCUCUGCGAAAUCUAUUUAGGUAGAGCGUCAUCCGAAUACCCCGGGGGGUAGAGCACUGGAUGGGUAAUGGGACCUUACCGGUUUACUGAUCCUAACCAAACUCCGAAUACCCGGGAGUACUAGAUGGCAGACACACUGUGGAUGCUAACGUCCAUAGUGAAGAGGGAAACAACCCUAACCUACAGCUAAGGCCCCUAAUUCAUGGCUAAGUGGGAAAGCAGGUGGGACGACCAAAACAACCAGGAAGUUGGCUUAGAAGCAGCCAUCCUUUAAAGAAAGCGUAACAGCUCACUGGUCUAAAUAAGGGUUCCUGCGGCGAAGAUGUAACGGGGCUAAAGAUAUGCACCGAAGCUUAGGGUUCAGAAUUUAUUCUGAGCGGUAGCGGAGCGUUCCGUAAGUGGUUGAAGCCGAAGGGUAACCGACGGUGGACAUAUCGGAAGUGCGAAUGCUGACAUGAGUAGCGACAAACAGGGUGAGAUGCCCUGUCGCCGAAAGACCAAGGGUUCCUGCUCAACGCUAAUCGGAGCAGGGUUAGCCGGCCCCUAAGACGAGCCCGAAGGGGGUAGUCGAUGGGAACCACGUAAAUAUUCGUGGGCCUGAAGAUGUGUGACGGAUCGUGGAAGUUGUUCGACCUUAUUGGAUUGGUCGGGCAGCCAAGCGGUUCCAGGAAAUAGCCUCUUCAAUAUAGACCGUACCCGAAACCGACACAGGUGGUCAGGUAGAGAAUACCAAGGCGCUUGAGAGAACUGCGUUGAAGGAACUCGGCAAAUUGCACGCGUAACUUCGGAAUAAGCGUGACUCACCUAGCGCAAGCUAGAAUGAGUGGCACAAGCCAGGGGGUAGCGACUGUUUAGCAAAAACACAGCACUCUGCUAAGUCGGCUUCAAGACGACGUAUAGGGUGUGACGCCUGCCCGGUGCUCGAAGGUUAAGAGAAGGAGUGCAAGCUCCGAAUUGAAGCCCGAGUAAACGGCGGCCGUAACUAUAACGGUCCUAAGGUAGCGAAAUUCCUUGUCGGGUAAGUUCCGACCUGCACGAAUGGCGUAACGACUUCCCCACUGUCUCCAGGAUAUGCUCAGCGAAAUUGAAUUCUCCGUGAAGAUGCGGAGUACCCGCGGUUAGACGGAAAGACCCCGUGCACCUUUACUGCAGCUUCAGAGUGGCAUUAGGAAAGAAUUGUGUAGAAUAGGUGGGAGGCUUUGAAACUUGGGCGCCAGUCCGAGUGGAGCCAUAAUGUGAAAUACCACCCUAUUGUUUUCUGGUGUCUAACCUAGAUCCGUUAUCCGGAUCAGGGACCCUCUGUGGCGGGUAGUUUGACUGGGGCGGUCGCCUCCUAAAGAGUAACGGAGG
rnacentral:rRNA from 1 species